AGGUAAACUAAGGUUAGUCGACACCGUUUGAUUUUCCCUUUUAUCAGCUGUGAUGAUUUUCCACGUGGUCAGAUCCUCACACGUCAUCCUCUGCUUUUCAGAAUUUCCUCCCCUCUCACGGCUGCAUGUGCAUGAGAUGGACAGUAAUUUGUGUGAAUUACUCUGCAAUUAGGCCUAUCUCUUGUACAGCUCCAGUCACCGGCAGCUGCGCCUCGUUCCACAGCUCGAUACUCGCAUGUCUUCGAGACAAUCGUUUUUCAAAUCAGGUAAUUAGAGUAAUUAGCCACAUUGUACCUAAUUACCUGCUGUCGUUUAGCCUAAUGAUAUUACUUACAAACACUCCUUACAGGAAGAUAGAGCUCCUUACUGGGCCUCCAACUCACUCAAGGUGUUUAGAUCAGUGAAUGAGAGCAUGCCAGCUGCUCAGCAGACCUUGGUGCUCAGUGUCUGAAAUACCUCUGCCAGGUUUCUUGACUUAUGAUGGCAUCAAUGGCGGAUUUAUUGUAAGCUUUGAAUGUCUCGACGAGAAACAAUGGAAAAGAAUUAUUGCACAUAGACAAACAGAUUAUUCUUGUCGCCCAUUUCAAUUGAUGAACGACCUCCAUAUUAAAAAGACAAGCCAAAGCUUGAGGAUUAGACUCUUACCUAAAAAAGGUGGCGCAACGCAGCAGAAGUGCUAAGAGACCUACCAACACAAAUGCUGUUUAGUUGUCGUUAUAUCCAAAGGGGCACUGUUAUGUCAUACUUCCUUUUUACAGUUCAUGUCAUAUUUGUUUCUACCUUCUUUCAACACAGACAAAAAGACACUUCUCUAUUCUUCUUUCCAAAGGGAGGGAUGGGACAUGUUGGAGUGUGAAAGCUUGUAAAUCCGCCGGGGUUCAGUUGACAGACCGGGCUACAUUUUUAUCCUCUCUAUGACCAUCAACUCAGUGAUAAAUACAGAGGAUGUUGAAAGUGUUUGGACAGGGUUGCUAGGAUGGAAGGAUAAGACAACAGUCUUUUGACUGAGAGCUGAGAAAGUGACGGGAUAAUUAUCCUUAGAAACAAUAAGCAGAGUCAUCAUAUCCUGGCCUGAGGUGAAAAGGGUAGACGCCGAACCACAGUGGGAAUUAAAUGGUGAAUAUAUGUUAAUUCAUAAUCAUUGUCUAUGUCCAGCCUCAAUUCUAUUGAUUAUUAAUCUUUAAAAACUAAGUUGAAAAAAAAUAAAAACUUAAUCCAGGGCAGCAAACAUGCAGCAAGCUGAAAUAAAACCUCAACCUCACAUGUACAGUGCAUUUCAUGUCUACCUGCAUAAAAGCUUGUUUCAAACCAUUUUUUAUGCCUUUUUUUAUCUCACAACAGUGAUGGUUCAACUUUAGAUCAAACUCUACAUAAAUGUAGGAAGACUUAAUCCAGAUGUUUUGUUUGUUUUUCUUUGGUGGAGAGUCAAAGGUUGAAGAAAAUAAUCAGUCAUUCAACUGGAGACGUUGAAUCCUGGUAGAAAACCUUUGAUAUGUAGCUCGAGAUCUGAGAUUUUUAUGCAGAUUCUCACUGAACUUAAGGUCAAUGAUUUUAUCUGCUGUCCAAUCACAGCAUGAGGAUAUUUCUAAUACAGCUCUAAAAUUAUUUUGAGAGCGCAAAAAUCAACAUUAGUUCUAUCAUCUCGAUUAUUUCACAUAGUUACAAGAGUUUCAAAACACUUUUAAGUGUUGCGAAAAAACUUAAACAUUUCAUCUAGUUUGUCUAAUGUGAUUAUGAUGUCCACACCAAAGAAACAAUAAAAUCGAUCAAUAAAUAAAUGACUUCUGACUACUUAUACAUCCCGCCUUUCUUAGUUCUUAGUUCAGACUGGGAAUGAAAGGAUCUUGCACUGAUUUAGCAUUAAGCACUCGUCACAUAAGAUAUUCAAGCAGUGCAACCCUUUCACUCAUGGUUGCGCCUUCCCCUGCUGAGUGGCCUUAUGCUGUGUACAUGUUGUUCAGUGAUAGCUCCCUGCAGUCCUUUCCUCCACUGAACACUAAUUGCCUGAGAAGUGCCGAGUCAGUAGCAAAACAAAAAGUAAAGUCGGUCUUCAGAACAACCCCGAAGAAGUCUCUCACACUUGAAAAAGGGCAUCAAAGCACACCAUAGGUUGAAACAAUACGAGGCCUGCUGCCAACGGAUCCUUAUGAGAGCGUAGUUUUGAUGUAAUCAUCCUUCAACCUGGAGGGGCUUGCUCAGAGCCAAGAGGUCUUGUUACCUUAAUCUAGUGGGAAAAGACCCCUGCCAGACUUGUUCUCUUUUUAUCUAGCCUGUAAUUUACUCUGAACUCUUAGUACUUGAGAGCCCUGAUCACCACACUCUAAAAAAUGAAGACAAGAGAAGACGACUUUGUGAUCUUCAAAUUUCAAGUGAAAGUCGGCUCAAAUGGGGAUUUAGAGAGCCACAUUACUAGGGAAGAAACUCUUCAGAAACACUACCUGAGUGCUGGAGAUUUCUGGCGUGAAAUUCUGUGGUACUUAAAGGAAAUUCUGGUUAUAGGAACCCAGUUAAACCGUCUACUUUUAGAGUGUAGUGUCGAGCGUCAGCCCCCGACUGACAACAUGGAGAGAAAAAGGAGGGUAUGGAAGUAAUUACUGGGCUUUUUUAAUGUCAAAGUGCCCUAUCACACUUCCAAUACUUUAGAAAGGCAUUAUCAUCAAGAGGUCAGGCGGUUAAAGAUGGUAUCAUACUUGAUGACGGUUGACUGACGGUUUAUUUCUUAUGAGGCUAGUUUAUCUGCAGAUGAUUCUAACUAUUGGCUAUUAACAUGAAGAGAUCAGCUUUUGAGUGAUUCUCGAUUGAAAUUUUAGUCUCAUUUCUGUUCAGGAUCUUUUACACGCGGCUUAAAUCCAGUCCGACCUUUAAACUACGGUUCAGUGAGGUGUUUUCCAAUCUUCUUAAUAUGUUUGUAGUCUUUUUUUGCCAAUAUUGGGGCUAUAUUUUCCAUCUUGGUAACAUAUGUAUUCUUAUGGACACCAUCAGCUGUGGUGAUUUUACAACACUAAGUGUUUCCAACUUGUUUUCAUGCCUUGGCAGAAUACAUAAUAAAGUGACCCAGACAUAAUACUGUUAGCACAUUUGUACUUCCUGAAUGAGACAAGAAAUAUUCAACAAACAAGUGGACGGGAAACAACUGCACUUGGCAUCCUGUGUGUCCGGAGCAGAAGCUCAACUAUGUCUGGAUGUCUGAUUUCCUUCAAACUGAUUUUUUUCCCCACUUUCACUUAGUUACCUUGUCAUAGUCUCCUCAAGCUUUAUGGGCCACGAAACGAAGCAUCGGAGUAAUAAAGUGUCUCGCUUUUUACAUUUCAGUGGAAACUUUUUGUCAGAAAUGAGAAUCCUUCACUUCAUUGCCACACAGAUUUAUCGUAAUAAAAAGAAAUAUGUUUAGAGGAUUGCAAAUCAUUUUUAUUGCUUAUCAUUUUUUCAAAGUAACACGUGAAUUGUCUUUUUAUUGCGCCUUAUCAAACAGAGGUCAGAGUGACCCUGAAAACACCUGUCGCCACCAUAGGGGAUUUUUAUUAGUUCCAGAUGCAAGAUUUCACUUUUUGUUACAUGUGGACUUAAAGCUGAGAUAAGGUUAUCCCAAACAUAUCGAUCUGCUUGAUUUGAGUCCUUUUUUUAGGACUUUGACCAACAUAAACCUUGAUUUAUUAAUCUGACAUAAUUAUUACACCUGUCGUCUACUGUCGUUUCUUCUGUGAGAAUCACCGCCGACACUUUGGGAGUUAAUACGUCACAGAGCUGCGCCUGUCUGCUGUGAUAAGUAGAGCAGAAACGUAAUAACAGUCAUUGCUUUCUUACUGGUGAGCUUUAAGAAGCAGAGCUGGAAGAAAGUUCUGCUGUUGUCAUACUUCAAGAAAACUGAUCUCACGCUCUAAUGUGACAGCUUUUUAAAUUAAUGCCUUGCUAAUAAUAUAGCAGGUGCUUAUACUGUACUGCAGCCAACAGGAUGCCUGGUUGCACCGUAAGUCUGCGGCCAUCUCUCUGGCUCACAUUUAGAGGCAUCUGAGGUCACUCUGUCAUCAAAUGCUGAAUGCCCUACAGUUUGAGGGCUUGGUUUACUGGUCAUCAUGCAUACCACUGAAUAAGCUGUGAUAAAGUGUUCCUUAACCGCACUCUCACACACACUUCCUUUUUUAAUGACUGUGGGACACUGAAAGAUGUGGCCCGUUCAGAGCUGAGCUGAAGCGCUGAGACUUAAAGUAAAAAUAGCUCUUCAACCUUUCUUCCAGUUUUGUGGGGAAGGAAACGGGCAGUGUUCGCCCAAUGGCAAGCGCAGAGACUGUCGUCAUGGGAGUACGAACAGGGAAUUUGUGUCACUGUUCCCUUCCUGUUGGCCGGGCCAACAGCAGACCUUAAACCCCAAGAUAAGAACUCCGGGCAGCCCCAGAUUAACUUUAUUGCAGUGGCCUAAUGCGAAAACCAAAGCACUCCAUGAGCAGGAACUUUGCCUCCUUGUGAUACCCAGGCAGCUGGCCAUUUCUCCUUUACCCAUCGUACCAUCAAUAAGUGACAGGAACAGAGGCUCUAAGGGGAAAUCCUAGAAAGGUCAUCAAGAGGAGAGCCUCGGUCUGUUUUACAUUAAGAGUAUCUGCCUUUUUCAGCCAAGGGAAGAUGAGACAAAUGACUAGCGGUAGAUCUACCCAAUACCAGACCUUCAUUGGUUCCACGGUAGGCUGGGUCUUUGAUUAUCUAAUGAGUUUAUGUUAGAAAUACAUAAUGUCUCGAGCCACAUUUGUGACAUAAUAGUCACUCAGUAAUGGUAACCAUAAACAGAGACGUGUUGUGUUGGCGCAGUGUGUUCUUUCAUCGACGCCCCUAAUAACAAUAGCGUGUUGAAACAGUUGGUUUUGACAUUUGUCUGUAUGUUUUCAUGAAAAAGUGGAAAGUAAGAUUUUUUAGGCAUAUUGCCCCCACAAAGCAAGUGGAUACAUAUCGCCGUUUAAACACAAUGUAAAACUUACCUCACACUUCAAAUUGCUAUAACUUUGUCACUAGAGCUGCACAGUUGCAUCUCUAGUUUUUGAGUUGACAGCUAUUAUUACCAGCUGGUACCAAAAAAAUUAAACAUGUAAAGGUUUAUAAUAACUGUGGUCAUUGUUGUGCAGGUAAAAACACAAUACGAUUCCAACUCUUCAGCUGUUAUUUGAAGUGUAGGUCAUUCAGCCAAAGCUUUUAACACCACACUCCUCAGAAGACUAAGCCACAUUAAGAGCAUUGUCUCCAAGCACAAAGUGGACCUUCUCCUUUGUAUAGUUUAAAAGGUUGUUGCUGCUGUCUCAAAACUGGAGCAAUAUAUAAUGUAUUUAUACAAUAUAUAAUGCUCUUUUCAUGCUGAAGUCUUUAUCCACUCUCUGGGUGGUCAAACUAAACAUACAUCCAUAUUUCCGGUCAGCUGUGUUGUUGCCGAUCAAAGUGCGAAUGUGUGUGAAAACUCUCUGCAGUUAUCAAAAGCCUCUGCCGAUUGGGCUAAUGCUGCUUCAUAUUCCCACCAACAUGUUUGUGGCUAUGAUAAGUUUUCAGGUGACUUCUGAGAUUUUCAUUUUUAUCAGACGAUCAAAUUUGUUUAUCUGACUACUAAAUUUUGUUCCUUAGCUGCUACUUUGCAGCAAGUCUAAUAAAACACCACAGACACAUUUGUAGUUCAAUAAAUAAUUGUACGCUGAUAUGCAAGGCAAAGCUUGAUUUCCUGUGGCUGGGGACAAUACGGAUUAAAUUCCCCUUUGUAAAACUACAAUCCAGAUUUGGAAUAACAAGGAGAGUGCCCACUGAUGGCAACAGUCUUAUGUCCAUGUCUCUCGAGGAAAAAGCUGGAGAGCCAAAGCACAUGCCUCCCAAAAUGGAAAAUGUGGUCUUCAGCUUUGAUUAGUUGCAUAAUAAGCACUAAACCAUCCAUGGGGUUCGUAUUUUUAUAUUUAAUUGCAGAGGCUAAAAUAAAACCUUAUAACGAAUAAAUGUUAAAUACAUAAACUUUUUGCACAUAUAUCAGGUUUUAUCAGCACCCCUGUUAACCUUUUUUUCCGGAUCAGACACAAUUACAAUAACUGGUGAGACAACCUUAUCACCAAAGCUGGAGAUCUACAUUAUAUCAAUGAAGUCAAAAAGACCCAUCCGAAGACAGUGCAAAUCAAAGGAAACAAGCAAAAGAACAAACGGUGAGGAGAAAAUCAAAUAGCAGUGAGUCUGAUGUAAGUUUGAAGUGGCUGGUAUCUGUCACUCAGUGUGGUCUGCUGCAUGUGUUUUAAAACGGAGCUCUGAGGUCGAGAACAGCACACCUGGGACAGCACUCACGCUGCUGGAGGAAGUCGUUUCACGCCAAAGAAAGCAAUAGAAAUUUCCAGCUAAUUCCCUCGUCUGCUUACACCCCCCCCCCCCUUCAACUGUCCUCUGAAACCCUUUGUUGUAAAGGAAGAAGACAAUGUCACUGAUUGUACAGUGUAAUUUUUUUCAUCAGAGAUACUGUAGAUGUCUCUGACCCAGUGCUGAGCAAGACUUUCAUGGCCUUAUCCAGGCAGUCCGGUUCCUCCAGUCCUUAAAUUAAUAAAAUGGACUGUAAUUCAAAUGGUGCCUUUUUAUGAUUUACAAAAACAAACAAGACCAUCAAUGGCAAGACUAAUCAUUUUUAUAUUGUUAUUUUUGAUGCCUUAAACUGGGACUGGAAGGGAGUAGAUGUCCACUUAUUUUUCUAUCUUUAAAUUCCUAAAAUCAGCAUAUAUCUUGUAACAGCAUAAGAGUUGUUUUAAAUCUGAUUUUUUCAUUUUAUUGUGUUAAAAAAAGUAUCUAUCAUCUGCUACUUAGAUCACGUAAUGGCCACAAUGUGAUGCGAUUUGCAAACCCUCCAUUUCAUUGCUUUUCCAAUAUUCAGUUGUCAUAAGGAAGAAGUCAAACUGCCUCCAAGUGAAUAUUGGCCAUUAUGCUGCAUGCAUUGGUAGGGGAGGAAAAACAUUAUGUCUCCUUGGCUUAUCCCACGGAGCCUAAAAUCACCACAGGCAGGUUAGUUAGAGCUGCACUCCUCCCUGAGAUUCCAUUAAAAUAUCUCAUCUCUUAGACAGAUUCUAUCUUGAAUUGUCCGGUUCGUUAUUCCAUUGCCUGCACCCAUUUCCACAUGUGGCAACCGGACAUAACAACGUUCAUCUAUUAUGACACAAACCCACAGGUUGAAUUCCAACUGCAUGUCCAAUAAAAUUACUAUUCAGAUUUUUAUAGACUAUAUCUGUGCAGGCUAUUUGUUUUAAUGACAAGUGCUUUGUUUUUAUGGCUUGCUGGUAUUUUAAAGCCUGUUGGCCUUUUGUUAUGCUGUGUCAUACUGUUUCAAACUGCGGUUGUGUACUUCUUCCCCUCAAGGCUGAGCCACUCACACAGUGUUUGGCUCCAUUUUUUCCGUGCAACAUUCUGUAAUGGAGAAAGUGUUGAUAUGGUUUGUAUUUCUUCUCCAGAGUGUUUUGUGUAUACGACGAUUUGUAUAACUUUUCAAUGAUUUGACAUGUAAAUAUGUAGACAAGCACCCUGCGCAUAGGUGGUGCUCAUCAGGAAUGACUGUUAUACCCUCAAUACGUCAGGUGCUGUAUAAGUCAGCACACUCCAAAGUUUAUUUUGAUAGGAUUAACUUGACUCUGACAUGACAAAGCAACCAGGGAAAAUGUGAAGCAAAGGCUGUCACAGUUAACAAAUUCUUGUGGUUUCUGUCACUAAUUGUAAGCUGUAAACUUUACAGAGUUUUUAACCUUUUCUUGUUCUUUUCUUGUUCCAGGGUCAUCAAAUAUCGCAGCUUUCUCAGGCACUUUGAGUCUUUAUACCAUUUCAUUUGACUUCUUCUAUGCUGGAUGGUUGAGGAGUUGUUCAGAGCGUCUAAUAGUGCCACCAAAUGGUUUUACAAUGGAGUAAGUUAAAAGCCAGGUGCAUCUCAUACAGAGGUAAAUGAUACCUUCUGUGUCUGUUUGAGGCACUGCCUGGUGUGACAAAGCGAUGGCAUUUGGGUAUUUUGACCAUGAAACAAGAGCUGCAUAGUACUUUUGGAUCCACUAAGUAUAUGUUUUUUUAUCCUUUAAAGACUUCAUGAAAAUGUUUUUCAGGAUCUGUUGGAGUUUCAGACCAAAUGACUCUUUUAGUAAAACUUGUAAACCUAAGGUUUGCUGUUAGGAAUGUUUCAUUCAAGUCUUAGUUAAACCAUUUUUGAUAAACUGAAAUAUAUGUCUAGUCUUCCACUGAAAACCCCUGUGGUCCUUGGUAUUAUAGGGACAUAAUUUGGAGAUGAAACUGACUUUAAACAACCCUGAAGUGCAUUUAAUAAUACAUAACUGGGAAUUAAUCAGGGCGUGUUUGGCCAAGUGACACACAAUAGGUGUUGACAGGUUGUUUUAAGAGAUAGGAUGAUCACAAUGCUGUAGUUCUUUGACCACAUAGGGCUCAGCUGAUGAAAAGCAAACGGUGAAGAGUCCUCAUCUGCAGGCCUCAAAAGAUCAGCAACAUACAGACAGCAGGUCAUGAUGCAUGGAGACAAGAGAAAUCAGACUAUCCUCCUUGUACAUAAAAGGCAAAUGAAAGCAUGUUGUGAACUCGGAUGUUAUUUUUUUUUAGAUUGAGAGAUAUUAUAUAACAGCCCUGAGACUUUCUUCUAUGACCACAAAAUUUGAGAGACAUCAGCCAAGCCAGUCAAGAGAAAGUUAUCUCAGGAGGCAGCAAAGGAAGUAAAAUAAGUCCAAGCAAAAUGACAGUAAAAGCCACUCUUUGGUGCCCAAGCUAUCAGAGAGGUUCAUGUUUCAGCACAAGUGAACCAUUGUUUAGGUUCCUGAUGUCUAAGGAGUUCUUCCUGUCCUGUAUCUUCUAAGGAGGGAAACUCAAACAAUUCGCUUUUACUCAGGAUGUGCUCAAGACAUUUCGACCACAAGUCUAGUGGCACUGUGACUCAUCGUAAUUCCUAAAAAGAGUUGACGACCUUGCUGUCAAAUUGGAUUGUAAAUUACGGGCAGACACUAAACACUAUUUCCAGCAGCUUUCAAGACAAUAAAAUUGAGAUCACAUUGGGUCUGAGAUGUGGUCUUAACAUAGAAGAGUAGGCAGUGGCUUUCUUUCAGACGCAGGUGUCUCCUUUUUAACUAAACAAUCACAUCCUUGGAUUGAAUGAGUCUGAUGAUAAAGUGUGUAGGUUUACUGUAAAGGAAGCUGCUCAUACUGCGAACUCUCUCCACCUCAAACCUUCGCCUUCCCUCUAACGGGGAUACAGCUCAUGUCCGCUGUUUCUGGAAUCAAAUUCUUACCACUCCCAGUGAGAAACCACCCACUCAUCUCAUAAGUCACUCGUCAAAUUUUGACCCAAUCAGAUGUUUUUAAUAGAUUAUCCCAGACAACAAAGAGGUAGUGAGAGGUCACAUGAUUGAUAUCGAAUAUAUCGCAUUUCAUGACUAUCGGGCAUGUGCGUAUUUCACCCACCAUAACCCCAGCAAGGCCAAUCUUCCAAUGCGUGUGUGUGUGUGUGUGUGUGUGUUUGUGAAGCUGGGUGUGUAGGGGUUAAACACAAGCAUAAUUGGAGUUGAGCACAGUCCUCUGAAGCACAUUAGCACAGAGCCCACAGUGUACCAGGUUCCACAGAGGGCAACACAGCUGCACAAAAACAGGUUUAUGGAAAACCAAGCUGAUACAAAACAGAGACGUCCGAACUCAAAAACAAGGAGGGGCGAGGGGGUGGGACGAGGGUCUCCUAACUAGACUGGGGACCACCGCGAUACAGGCCCGCAGAACCCAAGAGGGAGAAAUUUGAGAUUUUGAGCCAAUAUGCGAGAGGAUUUUUGUGCUUCCUUUCACUGAGGGAGUGUUACAGCACGCAAGGAGAAAAACAAAAAAUCCAUCUUGACUCAGUGGUUUUAAUGUGACAAGAGAAAUGGUGACUGAGUGAUCUUUUAGUUUUCUUUGCCCAAAGGGUGUGUGUAGUGUCGCCACGUAAAUCAACAUGGUUUGACUCUCAGUUGGUGUUGGCUUUUAAAAGGAAGAUGGAUAUGCUAGAACAGGGAUAAUCAUUUCCUAAGAACAACCAGUGUGCACAUCCAUCAUUUAGGGCUUCAUCGUUUAAUUGUGAGAUGUUAGAAACAAGCGUUUUCGGAUCAGAAUCAAAGACCCCACUGUGUAGAACAAAGAUCUGUGACUUCUAGCAAUGCUUUGUCAGCUUCAUUUAUCCAAGUUGACUCUGGAAAACAAAACAAAAAAGUCAAACUGUCUGCACAACAUUUAUGUGGUUACAAUACCCCAAACAGAUGCAUUAACAUAUCUGUCUGUGUUGUGCUUGGGUAAUCUUGAUUGCGUCUUCUUUGUUUUGGACGCUACAAACUCUUACGAAAUGGGACAUGCUCUCACUGAAAGGCAGGCAAAAAGGAAGCAGGAAAAUUCAAAAACUAAUUACAGUUUCUGAAAACGAUACAAAACUGAUACUUACUUCACAAUUGCAAACUUCUAUAUAUUUAUUAUGUUUACCCUCCUCAGAGAAACCUUCCCAAAAGGAAUAAUAAAGUUCUAUAUAACCUAAUCUAUCAACACUGCAACUUGGAUCUUCUAUCUUAGUUGCUAUGAUUGCUAAAACCAGCAUGGGUGGAUAGAUACUACGCAACUGAUUGAUUUAUGUGAAAUCAGGGCCUUAUCAUUGCUAAACAAUAAUCAUAUUUUGUCAUUUUUUUCCUUACAAUAUGUCAUCCCUUAAAAAGCAUCCAGCUGGCUUCAACCCUCAGGUCAUUCCUGGACAGCAGGUGAUCACAGACACAGACAUGCAACCAGCAGUGUUUAAAUUUAAACAUUGAAUCAUGCCUUACUGAAGUGUUUUUAUCAUAGACUGUAGAAUAUAGAAUAGACGCCGUCUGCCUCCUCGCUGGGUGAAACCACUCCGAGAACAGCACCCUCUGGUGACAGGCUGCAGUAUAGGUCGUAAAUCCUGCCCCCGUCAGCAAAGUUUAUAUGGAGCUGUGGACAAACUUUAGAAAUUUAUUACACUGAACAUAAAUUUUUCUUCCCCCUUGUUGCAAUGUUGACAUGUAGUUAUUGUGAGACUGAUUUGUGCUCAAGUCCUCUUUUUUUCUGUACAGGUCCAUUUUUAAAAGUUAUUAGGGGGUUCAUGUUUUCUAUGAGUGACACCUGAUACAGCCUAUAGGCAUACAAGGGUUGCGCUGUUUGAGCCGAGCGUCAUCACAGCGACUCUCUCCCGCCUCAAAUCUGUAUACUUGUGGAAGGCGGAACCAAGUUGUCCAUAGUAUAUACAGUCUGUGGUUUUUAUCCUGUUCUCACCAGCUAAGGUAAGAUGUAGCAUGCCAUGAUAUAAAGUAUUAUCCAGUUUAAUGUUCAUAGGUAGAGUUUGGGGUCACAUGACUCUUGGACAGUGAGAGUGCUUACAGUUAAUACUGUCACUUUAUCACAGGUGAAAGGUAGUGGAACACUACAUGAUCAUUUCUGGUUGGGAUGCAGAGGAAAAUCUUUUUUGAGUAAAGACUUGAAGCUGACAGUGCAAGGAGUUGUUCAUUUCAGUUGUUGCAAAUUUAAAUGCAAUUAAGGGAUGGGGAAUGCACCUUCAUUUUGCAACCUGCACCCCAAAUCUUUGUUUACAAGACUUCCUUGCCUAUACACCAAGUAUUUAGGAAGUCCUUAUUCGUAAAAGAUGACACUGUUCCGGCAGCCAAGUUUUUUUUUAAUUUUUAAUUUUUAGUGAACAAGAGUGUACAUUAAUGUUUGAACUGCAGUCCACUGAGCAAAAGCUACUCCAUUUGGUAUUAACAGACAUAUUAAAGGAAAAACCAUCACAGCCCAAGCUGCAACGGUUGAUUGACAAAUGAACAUCGAGAAAUACAGCACAGGAAAACCACAGCUAUGAACCCUUCACACCAACGAUGUUCCAGCAUGACAAAAUAAGGAUUUUGUGGACUACCUCUUGAACUUUUACCAUUUGAGCAUAAACAGACACAAAACCCAAGUGAAGUACAUUUCUUUCAGCAUGUUAUAUUAUCAUCUCUGCCAUAACCAUACACUCAUAAAACCAGAGCACAGCUUCACGUUUUGUGAUCACACACAUGUGGUAGCGAUUAAGCUCAUGCCAGUCCGGCUAGCCUCUUGUGGCCAGACAUUGUGGUAGUCACACUAGUUUCACUGAAGUCAUGGUGCCAAGUAUGGUUAGUGUCAAAGCAGAUGAUGUGAACCUAACACAGCAAUGUCUUCUCAGAACCAGCGCAGAAGCCUUCUGCUAAUCUGUUUGGUUACGUGCUGGAUAGCGGUUGAGUUGGAUUAGUGUAAUAUCAUUGUCUGAGUAACAAUUUCCAAAGAUUUUUGUGCAGUUUGAUGAGCUUUUUCCUGCUGUCUAUUUUCCUGUCUGAAGGUUGUGGCUAACCAAAGAGGGUGGGACCAGAGAGUUUGAUUUCUUUGCGACAGGCACUGAGUCAAUUGAAGUGAUGCAGGCUGACAUAUUAAUCCAUGAGAGCAGGGCUGAAUACGUGCUGAUUUGCAGAGAAGCACUAACAUUUCCUGUCACAAUACAGCCUUGCUCUUGAGGAGAAAUACUCACCACUUUCCUCCCCAAUCAAUUUUAGUCAGGGCAAGAAAAACGAUUACGAGCAAAGACUAGAUUUUCACAUACAUUAAGUCUACAGGUUUUUCAAAAAUAUUUUGAAGCAUGGCAAGAUCCUGCACAAUUAAGUCUCUUUGGGCCUUUGGAGCACUUUAAGAGGGGUCAUAUAACUUUUUAUUAUUUAUUUGUACUACAUGUGUAACCUAGAAGUUUCCCCUCUACUCAGAACCAGUGAACUCCAGGAUGACAACCCUGUCCCAUCAGUCAAGACUGCAGAUCUUUACUCAUGCUCCCUUUGCCUUCUUAUAGCCACUGUCCCCCUUGUGCUCCAUAUUGAGCCCUCUCGGAUGCUUCUACUACCUUACAGGUGGAACUUUUAAACCCUAAACCAGCACUGUUACACAAUCUGGUGGUCCAUGGCGAGCACUCUCUAUAUCCUGAUGGGUCAGGCAAGUAGGAAUGUUCUUGCACAGCUUUUGCAAAAGUCACCUGUCUGAGUGAAUCUGCUGCAGGAGUCCAAUUUCUGAGCUGCAUUUAACUCAUGAGACAGUUCUACAACAGCUUUCUGUCUUUGUGGGUCCAGAGGUUCAACUCUGAGUGUCCAAACUUACUCUGCACCCUGCUUCAAUCUUGAGCCAGAUCUUCCAAGCCUAGACGCUCCUGCUCCACCUCUGUCCUGGCUCCAGGUAGCUUGCCCCAGGGAUCCUGCUCUGCUCCAGAUGGCAGGAGCCCAACUGAAACCCUUGGCAGUCUCAACCACCUUAUUCCUGAAACAUAGUUAUUGGUCCCUCCUACACAUCCUGCUUGGUGUCCCUAAAAACUCUACAGGGACAUCUGCUAUCUGCCCCUUUAAUGGGGCUGUAUCGCAAACCCUUUCUGUAAUGCAAGUCUGCAAGUGCGCCGUACAACAAAGCCUUGCAACCAUCAUGCCUGUGUACUUUUAUAGAGAUCAGCAGUGUUACACAGGUGCCUUGAACUGAAAAGAAAAAGGCUUCAGUGGGUUUCCCUGUUUCUCCUCACUUCUUGUCCAUUUUAGAAGUAUCCAGAUCUUACCUGUUUAUUGUCUCCAACUCAUCGUCAUUGUUCUGCCUUGUUGCAUCAUUGUUGUCUUAGUUUUUGUCAUUCGUCUUGGGUCCUCUCUCUGAAAUCUGACCGUCCUGUCUCUUUUUUCAUCAUCAGUUUGUCAGCAUGUUUUUCUAAUCAUAAUUACCUGUAGGUCAUCUUAUUCACAAUAUAUUCCAGCCUACCUGUUCCCAUCUGCAUUUGGGUCCUACCUCUGCACUACAAAUUUGGACAGGUUCAAAUCCACAGAAAUGAAUCUCGGUGUCAGUGAUUGCUGUCCAAAAGAAAUCCCUCUUCAUUAUAAAACACCACAGACUACCAUCUCCGUGCAUCAAAUAUAAAUAUUGCCCAAAAGAGACGGAGAAAGCUGGGAUAUUUUCCUUCCUCUUUUCCUCAAAUGUUUAUUUCUUCUCACUCAAAAGGAGUGGAAAUUUUCCAAAUUGCCAGAAUGUGGAGAAAACAGGAAAAGGUGUCACCCUCAUUAAAGACAACCAGAUUUUCAGUGACUCAUUUUCAAACAACAGGAGCUGAGUGCCAAAGUCUUUGAGGAUAAAACGAACAGUUCAGGUGAACUUUUGUAUCUCACUGCUGAACUUGGACUCGAUCCUUUCUCCUUUCCUCACCCCCUUUUCCUUGAAUUUGUGUUUAUAUUAAAUACGUUUAUCUGUAAAGGCAUGCAUUGAAUGUAUACUAAUCCUUUCCAAUCUGAUCAUGUGGUCUUGAACCCUGGUGGUUGAUCUUGAUACCUUUCUGCACCUCAACAGGUGAAAUAUCUGUGGCAUGUUUUUGACUCAUACAAUGGUUCUAUUCAUCUGUCAAACUGAGUCAUCCACUACGUUCUGAUAUCAUCACAGACUCUGACAGUGAUGACCUCCUCUUCAACAAUGCCCUUUAGUUUCAUGUUUGUCGGGAGUCAUCCAGAAAUGUGUUAUCUAAACUAAUGGUCUCACUCUUAAUGACACCAGGCCUUUUAUUCUCUGCCAAAUUGCACCAGACAGACGCCUUUCGGGUGUUUCUUCCUACUUGAGGCACCGCUGUUGGGUUUCCAUCCCUUAAUAUAGUUCAAAUCAACAUCCCCACCCAGAACAAAUGGUCUACCUCAGAUGACUCUCAAAACAGAUCACACAGGAUGAGCCCAGGUCUCCAACCGUGUUUCCUAUAACCUUUGCAAGCCCUCUGCAGAACCUCUUCACACCAAGUGUUCAGCAGAUUGAAGGCAGAUAAAAAGUUCCCUUUGCUGUGUGUUUCCUGUCUGGUCAUUUGACCAACUGACUUAUAUACAAAAUGAAUGAAAACAGAGGUUAUCUCUUGGGCUGGGUUUCACUUCAAAACCACUACAGGCGCAGAUAAAAGGCAAGGAUGUUUUAGUGAAUGAAAAACAUGAAUGACUGAGUUUCCCAUCGCUUAUUUCUGAUGCUAAAAACUUCAAAUGUUGAUGCUAACUAGCUAAACUGUCAAAACACUGUAUCUUUUUCAGCUGAAGCCACAGGCUCCCUCCCUACCCCAUUCAUUCCCUCCAAACGCCAAUCUGUCAUUACUUAGCCAGAAAAUUUGAGGUUCCUCGGUUCACCAAAUGAGCCUUGACUCAGCAAAUGAGAAAAUAUAAAAAUGCCUGUACUGUAAAACUGACACUCUUGUCUGAACAGAAGUGAUUGUGCACUACAGCUCAGCCCAAAAGGUCUGUCAGUCAAAAGAAGAGGCAGAAAGAGAAGAGGAGCACUGAGGAAGAGCAGGAGAAUCUCCCUCAGGGAGGAUACAGCAGGGCAGGAGACAACAUGGCAAAAGCAGCAGCAACCCUCGAAGAACAUGGCAGACUUCCAGGAGCAGUUUGGCGGACCUCGGCUGACACAGCACUUCACUGCAGCAGCCGCCGCACAAGAUUUCUUUGGUUAAGGCUUACAGGGCUUUGUGCUGAAACAAGCUCCGUCUGCCUCACGCAUGUAAACAGAGCACACACAUUAAUACUGGAUGCAGUCAGACAUGACAGUACUUUUACAAAGCCAAUAUGUACACACUUGAGAAGUCUAUAUUAAGCUUUUAAAGCACCAUGCAAACACAAGGCAUGCUGCCGUAUAAACACAAUCCAUGCCAGACCAAACAGUAUUAGACAGACCACACAGAAACACACAGUGCACACCCCAACAUGUGAUCUUGUUAGGACUUUUAUGUAUUGCACUCACAACUCUGUGUCUUCUAUGCCAAAACACAAUGUGUACCUUGACCCUCCCUGAGACAGAUGUGAAGAAACGCUCGGUUCUGAACAUAUUACUGAGAAGGACUUUUAGUAUGGAUUAUUAAUAGAAAGGAUUACCAUUACCUUAAAGAGAUGUUCCAGCGUAAAAUUAAGUUAGGGUCAAACACACCAUGACACCAAGUUAGACACCCUCUUGAGAGAUGAAUGUUUCCGACUGCUUGCUUCUCUAGUUAUACCAACUUUAGUUAUGACCACACGAUGGCAAUACACAGCUGUCUACAUCUCCACGCGCAAACCUCAACCAAAAAGCCACUCUAUAGCCACAAAUAAUGCUCAGAACAGCACCCAACUUCAUCAGCAGUACAUAUAGGGUCCCAGCCCUAGUACUAGCCAUCAAGCAUCUUUCUAACUUUGCCUAAUUUCUUCAAAGAGACCAAUCAAAACUCACCCACUUUCCUCUAGCAGCCGCUUGUUUGUCGAGUGAGCCCUGACGAGCCGAUCAGCGAGUGCAGUGGAGUUUCACAGCUCAAGGAAGAAAAUUUAUGAUAAUCACUUCAUGGAAAUGCAAUCAGGCCACGAUACUAAGGCAGAAGAACUACUGCGUCUGCAGGGCAAAUUGAUUAUUAUGAUGAUUAUUACCUCAUGGAAAUGAUCUACUGCACUUGGUGAGCGACUCCUCAGGGAUUCCAGCUCAAAUGCUUUAUAGCUGGAUGCAAACCAAGUUUUCCAUUUUGGCAUUGACAGCCUCCUACAAAAACUUGCAUAAAGGAUACAGAGACAUGCACACACAUACACUUGUUGCACACUUAAGUUUAUCAUCACCUCAAAGAACUACAGCAGCCAUCAGUGGGCAUGAUAAGACAGGACUGAGAGAUUGAUUAUUCGAGUGUCAGAAAACAGUUUGAAGUCUGACAGUUUUAUCCUGUGUGUGUGUUCGUUAAUGGGACUCUCAAGUAACUGUAUUAUGAACUAAAACAUCACAGACUGCAGCUUGUCAAUGGGUAGUAUUUAUAAUGACAGUAAUGUUUUCUCCACUGUAGACUCUGUGUGCGUUUGCAAGAACACCAGGGAUUACUUGCUGUGCUGUGACCUGGGUUCACCCAGACACUCACAUUGUGAUGUACACAGCAAGGAAGAGUCCUCAGAUUUUCCAGAUCUUUAUUUUACUAGCCCAUUAAAUAUCCCUGAAAGAAUCAAACCUUGAAUUAAAAGGAGAGUAUUGUAAAUACUUGGGUUUAACACAAUCUAUCACUGAGGUGACAAUCUGGACAUGAGUUUUAAAUGGGCCGUUAAAAAUCACAUCCGACAUGUUGAAAAGUUUCCACAAGCCCUUGAGAGAUAAUAUUUUUUCAGAUAGUGAUUGCAACAUUCAAAGCUGCAGGGCAGAAGCUAUGGCUGUUUUGCAGUUUGUUUUUUUAGAUACUGGGUCAUUUACUUUGGAUGGCCAAGCUUUAUGAUGAAUGCUCAGAUCUUGUCAAAGUAGAGGAUUUAUCAUAACGUAUAAGAAUAACAAAAGACACUAGAAACAAGUUAAGUAGGUUCUACAGAAAGGAGCUUUGUGCAUGCUCUCCAUUGUGUCCACCAACUACCUUUAUGCAAAUGUGAACUCAGUCAAAGUUUGCUGUAGGGGUCAAGAAAGCUAAUAUUAGCCUAGAAUGACAAAGGAGCCAUACUGCCACAUUACUGCUCCAUUUAUUGCUAAUUACCUGCAAAAAGAACCUGACUGUUUAACACCACCAUUCAGUGUUGCAGUGUUUGAGGAAACAAACGUCUCCGUCCAGGACUUGCUGCCAGCUUCUAGUGCAGCGACAAAUGAUGGCAAUCAUUUGGGAAAAAGCUCCUCCCAAAUGUGAGGGCAGCCUAAGGUCUUGCUUUUACAACCACCCACUCAACGUCCAACGAAAGGUUUCCCUUCCGCUCCACAAGUAUAUUUCUUAUUUGGAGAAGCUAAUAACGAUUAUUCAGGGCGGUAGGGUGGCCUUGUGGUUACAGUGACCGUCCCAUCAUGUAAAGGACAAGGGUUCAAUUGCAGUAACAGCCGUACAUCCUGGCCAGCAGCCCUUCAGCAAGAGGCUAAAACCACUCAGUCAGUCACUGAGAGUCACUCUGCGUAUGACUGCUCACCACAUGUUAACAUGCUCUGAAUUAAGUGGAGUGUUUUUUAGAUUUUCAUAUUAAAACGAGAACGUCAGACUCCGAAAAAUCAUUGUGACUCAUGGAGCAGAUUAACAUGCAAAAAGAUUUCUUUUACAAUGCAUGCGGUCACUUAACAUUAAUACCACAUCUCGGUGAUGAGAAAGACACACUUCUCAGAAUUAGAGUUCACUGUCAGCGAAGUGGAGGAGUAAAAACAAUGCAGGCGUGUGUGUUUGAAGGGAAUGAAAUAAUGUCUUUAUAAUCUGUAGCCCAAGAAGAAAUAGUAAGUGGGGACAUGAUCUGUCCUUACACCUAAUAAAAAAUGGUUCUUACAUGCGUGUAUAUGGAAAAGUGAGAGGUUUAUCAAAAACACAGUUGACCCAUUUAAUACAUUGAAAUUAUUUAUUGAAAGCAUAUACCAUCAGCAAUGGCCAGGAACAUGUCUAGAUUUUUAUUAACGUGGUGCCACAAAUAUGUUUGGACACACCGUUAUUCCAAUGGCAUCUAUUCAAAAUCACUGUCCUACAAAUGAUAUCAAUUUUAGUUCUAGCAGUUGGCCAUCCAACAGUUUUAGCGUUUCUUGGUUUGUCUUUUUCUGUGGGGAACAGAAAGUACAAAAUCUCCAAAUGUCAUAGUAGUAAGGGUAAAAACCAAUAAAUCUGAAUAAAUACCACAACUUGUUACAACACAGUCAAAAAAAUUAGAAAUGAAUCUGCCUCUGACCUGGCAGACAUCCAAUCAUAUUGCAAGAAUACAGAGUGUCAUGUGGUUCAAUCUAUUACAUGUUUUUGCACAGGGGGUGAUGGGAGGAAGGUCUAGGCCACAACUUGAACAUACUCGAGAUUACUUGUUUCAUUGUUUUCCACGUUAUGACGUACAAGUUAUGAUGUAUGUGAAGAUCUCAUAAAACUAAUCUACGAUCAUACUUUGCAGUUAUCGUUUUAUGAAUAGUUUUAAUUCAAGGAGGGUCCCGAAGAAUGACAGUUUUCAGCUCAAGUAUUGAAGGUCUGUAAACCAGAGGAGAAACUGACACAGCAAUAACCAAAUAAACAGAGAUCGUAUCAGUGAUUUCCAUGAGUUUUCUGCAAGUCACAAUGUGUGAAAGCCAAAACUAGAUUGACAGCCGUUGAGCAACGAGGUGAUCAUUACGGUGCAGAUCUCACACAUCAAAAGCCAAGCGAAGGAGUGUGGAUACAUUUUUAGAAAAACAAGAUUGAUAUCUACCUGUUAACACGGUGCCAGCAAAAUGCCACAAUAUAAUUUCAAAGCCUUAGGGCCUUUCAGUGACGGGAAAAAAAUAUUAAAACUAAUGAUAACAAAAGGGCUUCCAACAUUUCAUCCAACAUUUCAUAAGUAAUAAUCUGGAAACAAUUCAAAAUUAAAUUCUGGCUCUUUUUGAUAAUUCAUUUUUGGGCAAACACUAAUUCAGUGUUCACAUGCCCACAGAAGAGGGUAAAUGAGGAUAAAACCAACCAAAGAACUGCAACAGGAAAAAGUCAGUGAUAUGGUAGCUACUGUUUAAAUACUUAAGUGGUCUAACAUGCUGCCUCAUAGUUAAUACAGAUCAUUUUUGAAGCUCUCACGGUUAUCAUCAGGGAAAAAGUGAAUGCAAACCCAUUUGUCAUGCUUCAAAAUCGGUAAACUAGGACUCCAGAUAAGGCAGAAUAAUCACAGCAUCUGUUGUCGAACAUUAUUGGGUUUGAACUAUUGCAAAGCGUAGGGUCGACUCAUGGAAGAACUCGCAUGAUGUAUGAGUUGGCCAACUAUAAACAUGCUGUUGAUUCAUAGAACACUACUCUCCCCCCGAUUGAUGUAUACCUUUUGUCUGUUUGUUGUUUUAGUUACAAAUCCUCAAGAUUAGCUGGUAAUGAAUAAAGGCUGACAAAUGUGUUCAUAAAAGGGGAGAAAGGAAAUGCUGAUUGGGAAAUGUGAGGUGGGCCCACGCCCUUUAGUAUGACGCCUCAGUCACAGACUUUGCAGUCCCUGAUUUGAUUCCGUCCAAUGAUUUCCCAACAAUCAGAACCAGGCUUGUUUUUAAGGGUGACUGGUAAGACCUAACCAGCGGAAAAGUCAGUCUGCUAAGCAACAAAGAGAAAAUGCAAAAACAAGUGCAGACCCUUCAUAGAUCACCUAAAGGAUGAAGAGGAAACAGACCUGAAUAUGCAUACACCUGUAGCUGCCAGAAUGGAAAAAGACUGAGACAAAGUGGAGCUCCCCUGACUGCCAACCAGAACCAACUUCAUCUCUUAAUGUUGAUAAUUCUAUAGGGCAGUGCGAUAUGUAAAUCUCUCUUCAGCUGGCCGGAACAUGAUGGAAACUUGUCCUCAUUCUCGCUACUGUGGCCACCACUUUUAACAGCUUUUCCAUGGGAACGCUCCCGGUAUGCCCAAGCUGACGGAUAGGUGCCAAGAGAUGCAGGGUUUGAAUGUGGAAUAGGGCGAGCCUUCAUUAAGCUGGUGAUCCCAGUGUGGUGGUAAACCUUGGUGUGCUUCACUCCUUCCUACUGUAAAAGCCUGGUUUAGGCGCUUGGCCUGGCUAUAGCAGAGACAGGCCUCAGUCCCUUACAGCAAAAUAUCGUACUUACAAUAAGACGAUAAAGCCAAAGCAAAUGCAAUGUUUGAACUAUAAUGGAUCUCUAAGUGGCACUUUUUCUGACAGUAGAAUAAAAGCACAGUCACAAACACGCCCACAGAUUAACUUACUAUCUAUCCAAAUUUUGCGUGUAUUCAUUCUGGAUCUGUGCUGUACCAAAUCUGGUCAACAACACACUUUGUUUUUAGUAUGUUGAGGGAGUGUUAAACCUCUGUCAAACCUCUUAAAACCAAGAUAUUUAAAGGUCCAGCUGAAGAGAUAUGUGAGUACACUGGCUCAGUUGCUCAAAAUUAGCAUUUGAUUAUGUUGAUGACAGCGUUUCAAGUACUGUUUCCUACAUUCUUCAUUUGUCUGUAUAUUGUUUCCACUCCAGAGUUCAUAGAUAUGUCCUUCUACAUGUUGUGCUGUUACCAAUGUUAUAUCAGCCACUUUUACAGAAGAGUACUUCUACCCAGGAGCCACUUCUUGUCUGAAACAAAGGAAUUACCAAAGAAAGCAUCUCAUAUGAAAAAGCAACAUGCUCCAGCAUGUUUUAAAGCGAGGGUCAGGACCUGAUUGGAUGAAGGCUGUGUGGAAAUGGUCUCGGGUCAUACCAUCCCAGCUCUUCAGUGGAGUGCACACUACAAAAGAUGGUUCUAAAAAUGAUCUUGUCAUGUUAUCCUGUGGUGUGAGGUAUGUUAAGAUUGAUUUUUCAACACUCCGAUCCACACAGAUGAGGAGUGUAGUCUCCCUGACUUGAAAUUGUAAAUUAAACAUGUUCAUAUUUACAGUCAGAAAUCCUUAAGUGUGGGGUGAUCCCUGACGCCGUCUAUCAUGAAUUUUGUCUGCUUUCACAUACAACAACUCGGGCAGCAAGCUGACUGAAGAAGGAAGCACCUGCUGUUUAUCAAGGCUGUUCUAGUCACUACCACACUCCAGCUUGCCUUGGUGGCCAUGAUUUCCAACGCUAAUCCUGAAUGUCUUACUUUGCUGUCAAGUGGUGUUUGUGGUUUUGGUCUACAUUGUUGUAACAGCUAUUUAAGAUGGGAAAAUGUGUGAUUCAAUAGACAUAUAUGAAAGAACACCAAUCACUCUUAUCUGUAACUGUCCUUGCCCUCUGAGUUACAGUUCACAAAUAGGGGUCACUCAGGGGUUAGGGUGCAGUUUAUUCACAGUCAGUCCAUAGUUCUAUCUGUGACACAAGUUUAUGUGAGCUGCACUUAAUGCUGCUUGACAGCACCCUGAGCUUGCCUUUAAUGUGGCAACUCAUGCACUCUUUCAUGGUGCUUGAGUUACGUUCUUCAACCCUCUCUCAGUUUAGGCUCUGCUGUAGCGGCGUACUGGGUGAAAAAAGAUCUUUAUUGAAUUAGCUCCUGACUGUGAAGUUAACUGCCAUCAAGCUUUUUCUCAGGUCUUAGGCCAACAGGUUUCUCUUGAAGUGUAAGGAUCCCAGACCUGUGCCUUGUCCUCUGAGCAGCGCCUUUGUGCUCAGUAAUACAAAGAUAAAUGAGCUAUUCAGUGUUGUUAGCCAUACAAUUAAACUAGAUUAAACAAUUUUGUGUCUGCAUGGUCCUGUACGAUUAAAUCAAUGCAUGUUAAAUGAAACCAGAGGUGAAAUGAGUUUAUGAGUCGAGCUGAGACUCCAACACACUUUCAAUGUGCUGUAUUCACCAACACAAACACUUUCUCAGCUAAAGAACACAAUAGUUACAAAAUAUGCAAAUCGCACACUCGCUGUAAAUAUAAAAAGUCUGUAUUUUGCCUUUCUCAUUAUAGACUUGUGUGGCCUUUGCGCAGGUCUACCUAACUUGACGUCAGAAAUCACCCGCUAAAUAGGAGGCACAUGGGAGUUGGGAGCGAAGGUUAUUUUGAAAACCUCAUUGCCGCACUGGCUUGGUUUGCCUAAUCUGGGCAGGACCUCACAAAGUCACUGUUGCACUUGUCAGAUGUUUCAUCUGGUUUGAAAUUGCUUGGGUGUGCAAGUGGCUAUCACAGCUCCAAGUGGCAGCUAGACUCCUAAAUGCAGGUUUCAGAGACAGGCCACAAUGGUGGCUCAUUUCCAGUAAUCUGGAACAUUCUGGUACUUUUCCAAAAGAGAGAAUCUUAUUCUAGUGACAGCUGUCAUGACAACAUGAAAAUCACUAUUCCAGAAAUAUCUAAAAAUAUUGAGAUUUAACCAACAUUUUCCGUGAUGACAUUUUAGAGAAUAUUUUUUGAAAAAGACAUGGACAACACUUUACACAGGCAGUAAGAACAAAUCUUAUUUCACGGUAUGAGUAAUUUCAUUUCACAGUAACAGUAUAUAUCAAGGUAUGUUUUCCCCCCUGUAAAUUCAAUUAAUGGCUUAAAAAUAAACAUACUGUCGCAUUUGUUCAUUUUCCUUUUAUUUUUAAACUCGGAUUUGUAAACAAAUGCAAACAAAAUGUCAGACCAGUCUGGCAAUUUUUUAUCACAUGGCGUACCUUUGGCAAAAGACUCUGAGAGGAGCUGCUGCAACUUAAGUUUUUGGUGCAGCGGGUGCGCCACGCACCUUUUGCCUCUCAUAAUAGAGCUUUGCGUGUUUCAUCUUUAGGUAGUGGAAGAGGUUGCUGAUGUUUCCACUUCCAGCAACGACAGCCACAUGACACUCCUUGCAUAGUAUUGUUUUUUGAUCAUUGUUGGAUUUUUCUAAAUCUGAAGAAUCUCCAGACAACCAAUGUUGCGACACGCGCCCUUUUUCCGAACGAGUUCCUCCUCCUCUUCCUCGUGUUUGGUGGGAUAGGCUGCCUCCGUUUGCUUGGUACUGCCACUAAUCUCCACGUCUGCCAUGACCACCAGUGAAGCUGUUUCUUCUUUGUCGAAACUCUGCCAAGCAGUCUGCUGGACAUGCUGGUGAUUAGAGGGAGCGCACCCAAACCUAGCCAAUCAAACGGAGCGAACAAAUUCCACACGAUACGCUGGUGAAUAUACGGAAACUAAUGCGCCCUGGCUUUCCUGUUAGCGAGCGCAAACAACUACACACUGACUCAGAGAGAUGCAGCAGACAUCUGCUCUCUCUCUCCGGUAUAAACGGUAUAGCAAAAUUUUUACCGGUAGACGCUUUUAUACCGUCACAUGGUAUAUACCUUCAUACCACCCAACACUAAGUGAUUCUAAUCCGUACACCCAGCUACACAACUGUGCCCCUUAUUUUUCAUCUCACAUUAAAUUCAACCUCUUUAUUCUUGUAAAUCAAACCAUGAAAAUCCUUCUCUGACUCAUUUUGAGCAGCUCCCGGGUAGAAUCGUCAGUUCGGUGCCCUCAAACUCUUCCCCAUGCCUUUAAGUUUCCUGUGUGGUUGUCCUGACACACUUUGCUCACUGUUUUUCAAGAGGAGUAACAAAGUGACCUCACGUGAAGCGUCUGCAGCUCUGGAUUUGUAGUUCAGCCGAUGUUGGGUUACAUCACUUCUUCGAAGCAAGUUUGUCCUCAGACAUUACGACAAAUGUGACUCAAAAUAUUUUGUCUCUCGGUGAAGGAAGUUGUUGUUUUUAGACCUAAGUCAAGUAAUUGUAUCACACCUCUUUGUCUUGGCUGGUUUCUCUUCUUUAAUGGCAUUGCCUCGUUUGCUAUGUACUGUAUCAAUGGUGCCUUUAGAAGUCAUUAAACUCACUUGUGUACCACAAAAUUAGGUGUCUUUCAGCAAGGGUGUGGCCUCGCCAAACAACUUCUGACAUCUCUAACAGUCUAACAAUGUUUCAAAUUAUCGCCAAUUAUAAAACACUGUGUGAUUUGUUCAGUGGCAAAGAGGGAUGUGAGGCAGCUGCAGCGGUACAUGUCAUUCUGAUGUGCACAGAUGAAACAGCUGUUAGUACUUGCAAAACCAUGAAUGACAUAUUUUACAUCAGUGUGACUCACAGUAAGUUAUAAAAGCAAUUACUCAUAAAUUAGAUAUUGUGGGAAUACUGUUCUCGAAUAAAAAAUAAUAAUAAGGGAAACAGUGUGUUACAGUGUUUUUGUGCAGCAGCAUUUGUCUCGCACUUCAUUUAAAGCCAAGCGAAUUGUUUGGAUCCAAGAUCAUAUAUCUGCGGUGAAAUAUCCUUGUUUCCAUGUGGCUUUGUCACAGCAUGUGUCGCCCAAACCCCAAACACGCGUCUUUCCACAUCGUUUAAAAAACACAAGAGACUCGCCAGCGUUGGAGUGACUUAGAGAAACAUUUCUGCCACAAGCUCUGCCCAGCAGUGCUGCGAACGCAGGAAUAAAUCCUUUUGAUCUGUGUAUAUACGAUUGAUUUUUACAAUUCUUAAAACUAAUGUCAACAUCGGCGGUGACAUUAAUGGCAAUCAGAGGGUUUUGAAAUGUUAAUUCUAAUUAUAGUGAUUGUUACUAUUUUUUUCGUAUUAUGCAAUGAAGAAAAACAUGCUGUCAUACUGGUAUCUUUGGCCCAGUGUUUGCGGAUGUUAGCAAUUUGUGCACAAAUCCAGUAAAAUAAAAGCCAGACAUUGCUUGUGGUCCAGAAAACAAAUAUCUGCUCCAAAUUAGCUUUUGACUGAAGAGUGUCUCUCAAAUGUUCCUUUCUUCGUGUAUCCAGAUUGAAAGUUUAUGCAGUUGAUGCAAUAUGCCAUGAAUGUAAAAACAUGGCUGGAGUAUUCCUGGCAUUUAAGUAACCUGCCUGAACAAAAAAAGACAGUGGUGUCAUGCUGUGAGACGUGUGUAUUAUUGUCUAAACUCACAGGAACCUCUCAUUGUGGUUCAUUUUUAAGAUGUCCUUUUGCUAGCUUGGAAUUUUCCAGUGGUUUUAAGUUCAGUGCCAUGGUCAUGAUGUUGUCACCAUGAGAUGUUCAUCCCGUGGACGGUUUGAUCAUGGAUUACUCAAGUUGUCGUCUUGCUUUUUUUUUCUUUUAGCCAUUUUAACAUCUGCUCAAAAAUCCAGAGUAUAUUUUGGUUAUGGAAUUACAAUAAAAACUCAAACAUUAGUUCUGAAGCAGACAAUAAAACUCCAUUGUUCUUAUGAAUAUAUUCCACUUGUGGUUUUUCUUUGUAUUUGACUCCAUGCAUGAACAACACAGAAAAAUACUUCUGAGGCUCUUUUACCUGCAUUAUUGGGCCUGAAACACGUCUGGUAUUAUUGGAGGAAAUAAGAGCUGAAUGUGUAAUGUUAUAUAACUAACAAGAAGUGUUUUACCGACAAAAUUGGUUCUAUUUGUGUUGGGAAGGAUCCUUUCACUCAAGCAUUCAAACUACACUUCUCAUGACCGUUAAACAAACCUGAAAGAGUGGUGAGUGUGUAUGCAUCAAACAUUUAUUCUGACAAAGAAAAUGUCAUGCACAGAGUUGGUUUAAUUGUUCAAAAAUAGAAGAAGAAAGUAUUCCUGCUUUUGUUGCAUAAUCAUACAUAAUGUUUUUUUUUUAUUUUGACUAUUUAGAACUUCACCAAUUUUAAGUUCUUUUCGGACAAAAAAUAUGUUAUUCAAAAAAAUUCACCUCCUGUGAAUCAAGAAAUAAGACAUAGAGACUCAUAUUGUCAGCCUCUAAAAUUCCACAAAAGUACCAAGAUAUGCAGUACAUGUCACCCCUAUACUCUAUACUUAGGUUCUUCAGUCACUUAUCACCUGAUUGUUCAAUCUCACCACUACUGUCCUCCCAUUCCCACUCAACCUC
rnacentral:lncRNA from 1 species